rnacentral:lncRNA from 1 species
CGGCCUGCGGAGAGGGAGCCCGCGACGUCCAGCCGCCCCCACCACCUGCAGAGCGACAGCAGGAAGGUUGGCAGCCACACGGGGAGCACGCCCGCCUCUCCCCGCGGCCCGCGCCCUCACCUGCCGCCCCGCCUCUCCCGCCGCUCCCGGGCGCCUCCGAGCGGUUCUCCAGUUUCUCGGGGGAGGCCUGAGUCCGGCCUCGGUCCCGCGGCCUCAGGUAGGCCCGACCGCCGCCUCCGGCCGCCACCAGCAACGGUUCCAGCUCGCCAGCGCGCACCUGUGGGGCCAGCGGCGUGUUCCAGGAAGCGCCCUCCAGCUGUCCAGGGGCACUGCCACUGGGAGAGGGCUCCCGCCCAGGGGGCCUGGAUAAGGGCAGGGGCCCCCAGCCCAGCCCAGGCCAGCCCAGCCCAGCGCAGGGAUAGGGGGACCCCAAGGGACGGACGGAGAGCCGGUGCGUGAGCGCCCCUGGGGAGAGGAUUGGGACCCCAACGCUGAGCGCCGAAGGGAGCACGUACCCGGAAAACGAUGUACAGCGACUCCCCGAGACCGAGGGAGAAGAUUGCUGAGACGAAGACGCCAUGCGCCCGCGACAGGUGGUUCUUGGCGCCUUUGCCGCCCGCGGCUCCGUAGGCUGAGAUCCUGCGGGGAACGGACGGUGAGUCCCCGGCCUUCGGUGCUCAGGCCGGCCGCUCCGGGCAGAAGUUGGCGACAGAGGAGGCUCCAGAAUUAUUUUUUAUCUGAGGGACUUGGAGGCUGCAAUCGACUCUGACGGGAUGGGAAGGGUAGGUUUGCACACCGAAAAAUCAGAUAUUACACUUAUUUCAGGAGGGUUCGUGGAAAUGUGGGGAGGCUCAAGCACCCCUUGGCGCCGCCCUGGUUGGGGGCCUUCCGCUCGGUGUAAGAGGUUCCGGGUAAGGGCUAACUCGGUGGCGACUACUGCCACCUUGAAGGGCACUCAAGGUGGACCUCCCCGCGGAAUAGUCCAAGACGCAAGUCGGUGCGCACGUGGACUUCGUUACCCUGAGGGUGAAACCUCCAACUAGCAGGUCACUGUCCACCCUACCUCCGCCGUGCACUUACAGAUACUGGCCAGGGCCCGGCACGCGCCACAGCUGCACGCCUCUCAGCUGCCCGGCGGCCCCCACGGUCACCACCACGCUGGUCCCCGCGUACGCCCCGUCACAUUGUGUCUGUGUGGGCCCAUGCCGGCCGCUGGCCCCGCAGGUAGAAAACAGCCAAGACCCCUCGGUGCCUGAGAGCAAGGAGCGAGGCAAGGGUCGUCGAGCCCCUGGCUGGGCCAGAGGGGUCUGGUAUGGUGAGCGAAAGAGGAAGGAGGCGUCUAAAGCUCACCCGGAGAAUUCAGCGGGGAGGCUGGCUCCAAGAUACUAGGCGGGGCGCUGACUUUCGGGUCCCGGGGGCUGGGACUUGCCAGCGGCAGGGGCGAGGACCGCAGAAAAGUCUCCUGGGACCCCGGGCUAGAGCAGAGAAUGGCGCCUGAAAGGUGUUGGGAGAAGGCGCAGGACGUUAAGGCGGGUGGAAAUAGGAUAUGAAAGAAAGAGAGAACCCCGCAACAGCUGCCCUUGCGGUCGCGGCCACACCCGUCACCCGGCCCAGCCGCGCUCUCAGCCUGGAAGCCACUACCCGACUCCGGUCGCAGAAGCCCCGCGGGUGCGCGCUGAUAGGUCUGCCAGUUUCUCUCCUCGAGCGCCUUUCCCAGUGAAUAACUUAGGGGCCGCAAUGAAUUUGGUCCUGCAGCCUCCCCAAUGCUUUCCUCAACUUAGAUUGGUGGCCCCGCCCCAAGGCGGUGCUGAGACCCCAAAGAAUGUUCCUCCUUCCCAAGCUGCGUGAUCCAGACUCUGGGAUUCGCACGCACUUGGCGCUUCUCGGCCCGCACUCCAGAAGCACGGACCGGAGAAAUUUGGCUGUGAGAGUUCGAGGCCUCUGGAGGAACCACUGACACCUGGCCUGUUGACCGGCCACCCCCAAGCCUAGGAAAGUGCCUCAGGCUGGACGGUCCCCUGACCGCCAGAUAGCACUUACCCGCGGCUCCGAACCACACCAGCAGCUGUCCCCAGCAGCCCAUCCCUGUUGGGUCCACCCGGCAACAAAAGCCCUUGCGGUCGCGGCCACACCCCUGUCAACCUAAAGUUGACAGCUCAUUUUGCCACGGCAGCCCUGGCCACCACUUACAGGGGUGUGCUGCCGCUGGCGAGACACUCCCCGGACCUAAAGCUGGUCUGGCCACGCCCACCUCAGACCCCAGGACGCCAGAGGAGGAAAGGGAGGGGCGUGUGGGCAGCGAGGUCCCUACGCUUCCGGGAGGAGCCUUAAGGAGUCCCCACCCAGGGGUUCUAGUUUCCAGCCGUCAGAUGUGCCGCAGCCUGCUGGGAGCUCCGGUAGGUUUGAGGCCGGAGAGGAGGUGCCCCACGCUUAAAGUGGGAGCCACACCUCGGACACCAGGUGGGGGCUUCCAGGUUCCUGAGGACAGGAGCAGUGGAGUGUGCACUUCAUUUGUGGCAGUGGUGGUGGUGGUGAGUGUGUGGCAUGCGUCACCACACGUGGGAAGUACUCUAAACUGCUCCAAGUAAGGCCUCAUUACCUGCCAUUACUUGUGCCUUUUAGUGGUGCCUUUGUGACUGCAAGGCUGAACCUCAUUGCUACUCCCAGAAACCUGGAUCUCUGUGUUUGCCUCAUAUAAUUCCGUUGCCUGUGUUACCCCUGUGCACAGCCUCUCACUGUGAUGGGGUGAAAGACUGGACCAGACGUUAGAAGAUCCGAGUGUUUUUAGUAGCACUGAAGGUCAAUAGAUGAUAGGUAGGUAGACCGAUCGAUCGAUUGAUCUUGAGCACUAGUACUGGCACCUCUGGUCAAUGGGUGAUGUAGCACAGGCCACAACUGCCCUGAGAGUUUCCCCACCACCUGCAAAAUCAUAUGAAGGGAAAUUGCUCUGUAAGGUACCCUACAAAUGUGGGAGCCACUCCCUUCAGGUAGUUUUGUGUCUUGAGUCUUCGAUCAUUUGCUUAAAUGAUCAUUUGCCGGGUGCGGUGGUUCAUGCCUGUAAUCCUAGCACUUUGGGAGGCUGAGGCGGGCAGAUCACCUGAGGUCAGGAGUUCGAGACUAGCUAGACCAUCAUGGCAAAAUCCCGUCUCUACUAAAAAUACAAAAUCAGACACACGUGGUAGCGCACGCCUGUAAUCCCAGCUACUCUGGAGGCUGAGGCAGGAGAAUGGCUUGAACCUGGGAGGCAGAGGUUGCAGAGACGAGAUCGCACCAUUGCACUCCAGCCUGGGCAACAAGAGCAAAGCCCCAUCUCAAAAAA